rnacentral:pre_miRNA from 7 species
UGUUAUUGUAAGACCCCAUUUCGAGGACCCUCACUCUAGUCUCGGGAGUGAGAGAGCACCCAUAGAAACAUGAUAAUCC